CAAAAGUCAAUAUAUACAUCGCUUCACGAACUCACACGUGGGCAAGCUUUGACAGAGCUGGCAAUGUUUCUCUCUUUUCGUCUCUGUGAGUCAGUUUUGAUGUCUUGUGUUCCAAGCGUUUCCACCGUCAUUUUAAUCCAGUGCAAUAUAUAACACAAUCUCAUCGUAAUAUACCUCUUUUUGUUUGUUUCCUAGAAAAAAAAGUUAUAUAUCUCACUUGCCCACACCUACUUUCCCUUGUUGCCUUGCCUUUUAAGCACUCCUCUUCCCCAUUCUGAUUCUUCUUUCCUUCGCCCUUCGAAACCCUCUCCAAUAUCUCUGCGUCGAAGAUCCUUCAACCCAGAAACCAACUCGGCAUGCUUGAAUGUCCAAAGAAAGAUUUGAUCAUGAGAUAGGGAAGAAGAUUAAGAGAGAGAUCGAUGCGUCGUCUCAAAUGGGAAGGAGAGUACAAAGUUUGGGGCCUCCAGGAACAAGCUCGAACACCGUCACCCCUUGUGCUGCCUGUAAGCUCUUGAGAAGAAGAUGCGCCGCAGAAGAAUGCCCCUUUUCCCCCUAUUUUCCCCCUCAAGAACCCCAGAAAUUCGCUGCGGUUCACAAAGUCUUUGGCGCAAGCAAUGUCUCCAAGAUGCUGAUGGAGGUUCCAGAGAGCCAAAGGACAGAUGCAGCCAACAGCUUGGUCUAUGAAGCGAACGUGAGGCUUAGAGAUCCAGUAUAUGGCUGCAUGGGCGCGAUUUCAACCUUGCAACAGCGGGUUCAAUAUUUACAGGCUGAGUUGAACGCCGUGAGGGCGGAGAUUUUGAAGUACAAAUAUAGGGAGGCUGCUAGUAAUUUCAUCGGUUCUUCUCAGGUCGCUUUGGCCUCUUCCGGCCCGGUUUCCGUUGCUGUGCUGCCACCAUUUCCAACUCCGGCCACUCCGCCGCCGGCAUCUGUCGUCGUUUCUUCUUCUACUGCGGCUUCUUUGUACUCAUCAGUGGCUAGUAGAGUGGGGUACAAUUCCAUUUCGACUGACAGUGUUUCAUAUUUUGAUUAAUAUCAGCUACAUAUAUAUCUUUUCUUGUUUAAUUUGUUUGAUAAGGUUAAUUGUUGAUGUUUCUUUUUAACAACGUGGUCGGCCUUACUGUUCGUUUAGUUGAAACUCUAUUUGAAGCAGAGAAGCCUAGAGAAACGAAAAAGAAAAGCUUGGGAUCAGAGACCUCUUCAAAAGGUUUUGAAGUUUUCAUUUUUUUUUUUUUACAAUUUCUCAGGUGCCGAACGGAGCACGACUAGAAAAUCUUUUUGAAUCUUCUUUGAUUAUUCCUCUUACUUGUGCCAGUACAUACAUACAUACAUACAUAUAUAUAUAUGUAUGGGGAGCAUCAUGAAUUCUCUAGCUAUUUUGCCAGUAGCUUUCCUAAUAUCGAUCUUUGGGAUUGUAAAAUCAGAGGAAAUAUGUAAUGAGGCCAACACCCAAGAAAAACAGAUAGCUAUAGUGAGAAAGUUAAGCAAAAGAAAAAUUCCAGAACCGAAACUAACAUCCGAAGAGGAACCAUCGAUGCAAAUAAAGAGGCGAAGGUGUGGUGGGGAGGGGUAGAAAUUGAUCGGUCGACGGUGUCCCCAUGGCGGCGACUGCGAGCAUGCAAGGCAUUCUACUUAAUUAGGAAUUUCGCGUUUUGAUUUUCAAGAAUAUAUUGAAAAUGGAGGGCAACUGCAGGGAACGAUGAUCGACGCACUACCAGUAGUGAAAUGGAAUACCGGAUAGAUAGAUUGAGAAAAGAGAGAAAUAAGGGGAAGGAGAGAGAAAGAGUAAAGAAGUAGAUUGACAACGAGAUGGAGUACCGGGCGGACGAUGAGAGUGAGAGAUUGACGGCGAGAGCGUGAGAUCGACUGCUGGUCACACAUUGCACGAUAGAGGAUUGGACUAUCGCAGGCAAGAACAAGAGAGAGAGAGGGAGAAAAUACGCUGAAGAAGUUAGAUCCAGAUCAAGUGCCACCGGAAUUUGGCUGAAAAAAUGAUUUGCCUAGAUCUAGCCGAAGAGAUAUGAAUGUAGAGAGAGAUACGAAUGCAGUUUGCAAAAGUCGAUUCCAGAUUUCAAGAGCUCCUGGGUUAGUGAGAAUGAGGAAGAAGGCGACAAUGGUGAAGAGAGAGAGAAAGAAAAAGAAAGUACACCAACGGUGAACGACAAUGGCUACAACGAUGGAUGUUCGGUCAGCCACGAUGAAGGUCUAGUCACGCAUUACGCGAUGGAGGUCUAGCAGGCCAUGAACAAGAACGAGAAAGAGUAUGUUGAUGACAAAGAAGGCUUGGGCAUCCGAGUAGGUGAGAUUAGAGAAAAUGAGAAAGAAAGCUUGGCAAGGGUAGAUCUGUAAUUGGGAAUUGGGGUAAAGGUGUAAUUUUGGCAUGAGUUGUCAACAAAGUUGUCAAGAGUUGUUAUCUAGCAUGAUCUAAUUUGGAAUGAUCAAAGUUCUG